rnacentral:rRNA from 1 species
AUUGAACGCUGGCGGCAGGCCUAACACAUGCAAGUCGCACGAGUGGCGGACGGGUGAGUAAUGUCUUGGAAACUGCCCGAUGGAGGGGGAUAACUACUGGAAACGGUAGCUAAUACCGCCUACCAUCGUAUGUGCCCAGAUGGGCUUAGAUAGUAGGUGGGGUAACGGCUCACCUAGGCUACGAUCCCUAGCUGGUCUGAGAGGAUGACCAGCAAAACUGGAACUGUGACACGGUCCAGACUCCGACGGGAGGCAGCAGUGGGGAAUAUUGCACAAUGGGCGCAAGCUUGAUGCAGCCAUGCCGCGUGUAUGAAGAAGGCCUUCGUGUUGUAAAGUACUUGCAGCGGGGAGGCGUUACCCGCAGAAGAAGCACCGGCUAACUCCGUGCCAGCAGCCGCGGUAAUUC